CUCGUGUCGUGAGGAUCGUUGGGGUUAAGUCCCGUAACGAGCGCAACCCUUGCCUUAGUUACCAGCACGUUAUGGUGGGCACUCUAAGGAGACUGCCGGUGGACAAACCGGAGGAAGGUGGGGAUGACGUCAAGUCAUCAUGGCCCUUACGGCCUGGGCUACACACGUGCUACAAUGGUCGGUACAAAGGGUUGCCAAGCCGCGAGGUGGCGCUAAUCCCAUAAAACCGAUCGUAGUCCGGAUCGCAGUCUGCAACUCGACUGCGUGAAGUCGGAAUCGCUAGUAAUCGUGAAUCAGAAUGUCACGGUGAAUACGUUCCCGGGCCUU
rnacentral:rRNA from 1 species